GUAAAUCAUUAAUAUAUAAUGAAAAUAAAACAGGUCCAAGUGUGGAACCUUAGGGUAGUCCAGCCUGACAGUCAAAAUAUGGAGAUUUGAUAGUGUUCAUAUGCACGAGUUUGGGCUGUAUGAUUGACUUAAUUCAAUAUCAUUAUCACCACAUGGAGGUACCCACGGCUGCGGCUGAGCAUACAUUUUUACAUAAAAUGUCUUUGUUUUUGUUAUAAAUAGCAUAUUUUGACACAACUUCAGUCUCGUUUGUGUCACUAAAGAAUUGGAAAAGACCAGUCUUUCACAGAAGACCUAUACGGACGCAAGAUGGCGGCGUGUGCACACAGCUAAGCCCAUUUUAUCUCUUCCAGAUUUGCAGUUUUGUAGUUAUUAUUUUGUUCAAAUUGGGUCUGGUUUAACAUUUUACUCCCAACGAGAGCUUGUGGAUAUUGGAUUUCGCAGCGCCAACGUUUUUAACACUAAUCUUCGACUCGUCUCUGAAGCCUCCACGGUACCAGAGGCUACACACACCACCCAGCCGGGCGGAAGCGCUUGCAAGCGGCGUCGAGAACGUAAACAAACGCUCGGAAGGCGCGGAGAAAUACGAGCUAACAUAAGCUCACGAACCGAAAAGACUCAACUACUUUCUUGCUAAUGUGUGGUCUUUAGUGAAUAAAUGGACGAGUUACGAUUCCACUUCACCCACAGUAAGUGACUUUUGGACUGCAGCGUCACAAUUUUCACCCAGACAUGACUGAACAGCGGAGUACCUGACAACGCUAUUGUGCUAGCCGACCGCCACACAGUCCGGGCUGAUAGAACAGCAGAUGAAACAGGCAAGACACGAGGCCAAGGACUGUACAUCUAUGUGAACUGCUUUCUGUGUCACAAAAUAAAGAUACUGUUGCACACCUACUAUGUCAAGUUGUUUAUCGAAGAGUUUUAGCCUUUUUUCGAGGUGGAAAAAGUCGCAAAUGAGAUCUGUUUAUUUGUAGGGAUCAUUAUUAGCAGCGCUCUUUAAAAAAUAUAUUCGACUUUUAGUCGACUAUGAACAAAAUCAGAUUCGACUAUGAAAGUCUUUCGUCGAAGACAGCCCUUAAUAAUUUUAUCAGUGUGCUCUGAGCACCCGACAUGAUUUUCUGUGCAUGCAUGUGUGAGACACGGCUCAGUUUGCUUCAUAUUAAACGCAGCACUAAAUAUCUGACAUGCAUUUUAACUCUCUGCAUACUCAUCGCUAUUCUAAAUACUUUAUUCAUAGAUGUUAUGAGCCAUAACAUUUUUGAAAAGCAAUCUAGAAAUCAGAAUUUAUGCGUGUGUUGUAUUAAACAAGCCUUGUAUGAUUGCGAUAAUGUAAGAUCUAUAUUUGUAAACUGCUACAAAACAGAGACCUCCGUCACUUUGUAGACUUUGCUAAUCAGUACCUCCAGCUCCUCUCCACCCAGGUGACAAAUGUCCAAGACACACACCAAAUGCGUGUCUUCCAGUUCACUAGCUGUUGUCAAGAUCUCCUCUGAAAGACAAAAUACAUUGGGAAUUGUGGUAUCAGUAUGAUGCUAAACUACACUGUAAAUCGGUCGGGUAGCGGUGGUACUUGUGAUGACCUGGUCUGGGACCUGUUGCCUCGCUGUUGCUGAGGGGGCUGAGGAACCCAGAAGACAGACAAGACAUCAUGGUGUUGUCAUGGCGAUCACAAAUAAGACCUACUGCUCUAUGCUCACUGGAGCACACAACAGCUACUGGUGAGGUAAAGCGACGAGCCCGCUGCCUGACACACUCGCAUCUGAGUGCACACCAGGUUGAGAAGAGGAAAAAAUCUCCAGGAUAAAAGGCUGCUCCGAUGUUCCAUCCACCGCAUGAACCCAGCGGAACGUCCAGUACUUUUCUGGACAGACAACAAGGAUGGACAGGAUCAUUCACACAAGAAUACUCAUUCACAUGUGAAGAAUAUUUGGCAUGUUUCUUAAGUCUCACCAUUGUUGCCUUUACUCUUUAUCCUUUCAACACGACCUACAAAGGUAACCAAACCGAUGAUGUCACAUGCUGAGUUGUUGGCAAACUUUCCAAGCUCCGAUCUGACAAAGUGAAAAAUGUGGAAUCACUCACGGAUCACAACACAAAUGCUGUCUAUAAAUUAAAAAUAAUUGUGCAUUUGCACAAACAAAAUAAUUGCCUGUACAGUGUUUCCCAUUCAUUAAUUUUGACCUCCACAGAUGGAUUCGGCGCUACCCAUUAAGAAUUGUCCGUGUUUAUAUGACUCUUAUUUUGAAACCUUUAAUUUGAAAGUGUUCUCCGAGUACUCCGGUUUCCUCCCACAUUCCAAAAACAUGCAUGUUAGGUUAAUUGGCGACUCUAAAUUGUCCAUAGGUAUGAAUGUGAGUGUGAAUGGUCGUUUGUCUAUAUGUGCCCUGCGAUUGACUGGCGACCAAUCCAGGGUGUACCCCGCCUCUCGCCCGAAGUCAGCUGGGACAGGCUCCAACAUGCCCUCGCAAUCCUAAUGAGGAGAAGCGGUAUAGAAAAUGGAUGGAUGGAUGGAAUUUGAAAGUGUCACUUCCAGGGCUGCAAGUAACUAUUAUUUUCUUAGCCGAGAAAUCUGAAGCUUGUUGUUUCAAUUAAUCGAGUAAUCGGUUAGGCCCAAGACCAGGGCUUUACAGCCACCUUGACUGCUGAUUGGAUGAGCAAGAGAAGGGGAGGGGAGGGGGACCAGUGUGUUCAGUCAGUGAGACACGAAAAAGACGUGUUUCUCCCGCCGUAAGCUAUCCAUAACAAUGAAUAUGUCCCUACAAAGAAAAAUAUCGGAAGAAAAUAAAAAAGUUUGAUUCUGAAUGGACAUUCUGAAUGGAAUUAGCAAACAGAAAAUUUAACAGUAAGACAUUUUUAAAACAGGCACUCUGCUUUUUCUGAAACGUAUUCAACUGCUGAUGGGCGUGAGGGAGUGAUUUUGGAACUACUACAAAAGGUUGAGCAGAGCAAACAUACUUUCAACAAGUGGAUGAAUGCUCCAAACUCAACUACAGCUGCUAGCGUUGUGACUACACAUGAGUGUGUAAAGAGGGGGAAGCCAUUCACAGAUAGAAAACACAUGAAUACAAGAAUCGUUCAUAAAAAUAUCACAGGAUCUAUUCUCCGCUUAAAAAAAAAAACACACACAGGAAAUGAUUCAGAAAAUCAAAGAAAUGCCUCUCUCUGCAAAGACAGUCAAGAGCAAUGGCAACAAACAUCAACAGGUGGAAAAUUGAUUCAGAGCAAGCAUAUGUAAUUGCUUGUGAUAAGUGAUGUAAACUAUAUUGAGCAGACAGCACCGAUAUGCAGAUGUGAACUAUGAUGUGCUUUUUUUAUGCUAAAGUUGGCUACAUCUUUUAGUUUUACACAAAUACGAGAAUGACUAAAAAAAAGCCUACAUAGUUCAGUGCUUAUGUCACAGUAGGCCUACACAUGCCCUCUGCAUCUCUUUGUUAGUUGAAUUCUGUUGGAACAGGUACAAUUUGUGCAUAAGCUGUGUCAUGUUUUGUGGCUCCGGACUAUUUUUCUUUACUGGAAAUAGGAAGCAAAAUGACUCUUUUGGUGCUAAAUAUUGCCGACCACUGCCCUAGACGGACUAAAUCAAUAUGAACCAAACACAAACAGUUAGUGGUUUGGUCCUCAAAGAAAAGAGGUAAAAAUGUCAAUCACUGUUUUCCAAAGUCAAAGCUGAUGUCUGUGAAUCAAUUAAUCAUGGAUUGAUUGCUGCAGCUCUACUCACUUUCCCUCCCGAUUUGUGUGUGUUGCAAUCGAUAAUACUAUUCUCUCAACCACUUUCUAUAAUCUAUUGGUGCAGAAGUCAUUGCCGAUGUGAGUUUUCUAACGCUUUAAUAGAUAUAUUUGAAGCAUUAAUGUCUGCGUGUGAUGUUUUAUUGAUGUUCUGAUGUCAUUAGUCUGAAUGACAGCUGUUUAUUUAGUAAAUGGCAUAUGACUGCUAAACAAAUUAGCAAAUGGUAAUAAUAAUAAUGAUUCAGAGUGAAAUGAACCCAUUAUUCAUUCACUCCUCAAUUACACACUGGUGGUGGUAAUCUAUAUCUGUAGCAUCAGCUUCCCUGUGGCAGACUGAUGGAAACGUGGCUGCCAAUUUGUUGGAGUUUCUUACUCAAUCCGUUCCAUAAUUUGAUUCCACAUACUGAAAUGCUGUGGGUUUUUCGUGUUGUUCUCGCAUAUUCUCAUGUUUAAAGUUUAGUUUUUCCCUAAGAUCAUAUUUCUCCUCUCCUAAGUAUUGUAUGACAUUUUUGGCUAAUAGGUUAUUUUAUUUUAGUUGUUUGAAAAUUUACUAAAUCAGCGAAUUUUUAUAUUUGUGAUUUUAAAAAUAAGGGAUUUGUAUGUUCUCUAUACGCAGCAAUAUGGAUUAUCCUCACUGAUCUUUUUAGCAGUACAUUUAGCGAGUGAAGAUUGCUUUUAUAGUUAUUACCCCAUAUCUCCCCACAAAAAGUUAGAUAUGGUAAUACCAUAGAGCAGUAAAGAGUGUGGAGUGAUUUUUGAUCAACAACAUUUUGCUUUAUUCAAUAUUGAAGUAUUUCUCACCACUUUAUGUUGUAUAUUUUUGAUGUGAGAUUUCCAGCUCAUUUUUUCAUCUUCUAUGAUUCCAAGAAAUUUAGAUAAGCUAACAUUUAAGGUUACUUUUACCCUCCUUGAAGACGUGAUUCUUGAAAGACACGAUGUGGCAGCGAGACCAACCACCACCACCUUCCUGUGUUGACAUGAGUUGUUUCUUAAAUUCAAUAGUUUCUCGCCUCAAUAGGGUAACUCAAAAUGGAUGCCAAACAAAGUUCCAAGUGGGAUUUUUUGAUGAAGAGGGUGAGAAAAACUAUUGAAUUCAAGAAAUAACUCAUGACAAAAUGUGAGAUGACUCUGUGCCACAGUGUCUUUGGGAACAGUUUAUAGCCCUUUCAUUCAUCAUUCAUAUGCAUUUAGAAUUGUUUUAUGCAUGUAAAACUAUAACUAUAAAAAUAUAAAAAUUUGUUUUGUGUUAACAGUUGAUGACAUCAUAGACGGGUGACGUAACUGGGUCCAGUUGCCAUUUUGUUCACUAGCUAAUAGGAUGCUAACAAGGAAGGGUUUCUGAUAAAAAUAAUAUAAGUAUUAAGAAAACAAGACAUGCGACAUAUUGCCAAAAUUGUGGUGUAAGUUUUUUUAUGUUAAUAAAAAAAAAAAACACGCUAACCGAGGUUCACUGUAUAUGCAAGUUUAUUUGCUUUAUUCACUUUAUAUCACAUUAUAUGACAAAGACAUUGAGUUUAUCUAACUAAAGUAAUGCACCGUGUGUAUGCUUCAGAGCACACAAUUAAAACUGAUCAGUCCAUCCGAUGACUUUGUGUUCUCUGACCGGAACCCCAGAGUUAUCAAUAUUCCAAACACCAGUUUCACUCAACACUAUCUGUUAGCCCUCAUAAACACAUGAUGGUGGAACUCUUCCAGGGGGAGGAGGAAGCCAUAAAAAUUAAAUGGCCAAUUAUGCAAAUUUGUCUCAAGUAUAGAUAGCCAGAUGAUUAGUUAAAUUACACGUUACAUUACCUUUUGGUGAAGCGAUAGGACAAAUCAGGCAAUGACCACUGAGGCUGAACUUCCUUAGGUGGCACUAUGGUGAUGACUGAAGCUGGAUUGCGAGGGUUCAGGCAGAUUUCUGAAGAAAAAAGUAAGACUUACAGCAUUUGUAUGACUUCUAGUCUCAAUCAGAGAGGAGAAAUAUGAUCUUAGAGGAAAAUUAAACCUAAAACAUUUAUAUGCGAGAACAACGCUGAAAACCCACAGCAUUUCCGUGUGUGGAAUUAAAUUAUGGAACGGAUUGAGUAAAGAACUCAAACAAUGUACCGAGAUGAGCAAAUUCAAAAAACAAUACAAGCAGUUGAUGUUUGCUAAAUACAAGGCAGAAGAGUCCUGAUU